UACGGGAGGCAGCAGUGGGGAAUAUUGCACAAUGGGCGCAAGCCUGAUGCAGCCAUGCCGCGUGUAUGAAGAAGGCCUUCGGGUUGUAAAGUACUUUCAGUCGUGAGGAAGGUGUUAAGGUUAAUAACCUUAGCAAUUGACGUUAGCGACAGAAGAAGCACCGGCUAACUCCGUGCCAGCAGCCGCGGUAAUACGGAGGGUGCGAGCGUUAAUCGGAAUUACUGGGCGUAAAGGGCACGCAGGCGGUUAAUUAAGUUGGAUGUGAAAUCCCCGGGCUUAACCUGGGAAUGGCAUUCAAGACUGGUUAGCUAGAGUCUUGUAGAGGGGGUAGAAUUCCAUGUGUAGCGGUGAAAUGCGUAGAGAUGUGGAGGAAUACCGGUGGCGAAGGCGGCCCCUGGACAAAGACUGACGCUCAUGUGCGAAAGCGCGGGGAGCAAAC
rnacentral:rRNA from 1 species